rnacentral:rRNA from 1 species
GGACCCCACUGCUAUCGGGAUAGGACUAAGACAUGCUAGUCGUGUGACUCAGGCAAAACGAGUCACGGCACACAGCUCAGUAACACGUGGCUAAUCUGCCCUUAGGACGAGACCAACCCCGGGAAACUGGGGAUAAUCCUCGAUAGGUGAAGAACUCUGGAAUGAGUCUUUGCCUAAAAGGCGUUGGAUCAUGCUUUCAGCGUCGCCUAAGGAUGGGGCCGCGACCGAUCAGGUUGUUGGUGAGGUAAUGGCCCACCAAGCCUAUAACCGGUGCGGGCCGUGAGAGCGGGAGCCCGGAGAUGGGCACUGAGACAAGGGCCCAGGUCCUACGGGGCGCAGCAGUCGCGAAAACUUUGCAAUACACGAAAGUGUGACAGGGUCAUCCCGAGUGCCGACCGCU